CUUAGGUUACAUAUAUAAACCGCCUCACUUCUUUAUUUCUUCUUCACUUCUUUCUUCUUACAAAUAUAAACCAUGCCUUUGUGAAGGCUGGGUUGAGUGUGGGGAACGAGAGAAUGGGUAAGGUAAGGAGAAGAAUCGAAGGAUGUCUUACAAGAACCCGUGUCUAUUUUCCUUAACCAAGAAGGUGCACAAAGAGGAGCAAAAGCACGAUCUUUUCAUAAUCAUAAGCCCACUUAUGAUGUUACGAGCAAGGGUUUGGUUGAUGGUUCUUUUGAACAGUGCUGUUUGGUUUCUUAAUAAACAUCCAAGAAUUGUCUUGGAGUUCUCUUGUAAAGUCUGGGUUGACAGUUCUAGUUCUUUCCUCAAUCAACUUAUCUAGAUACAACAGAAGCAACUGACUGCUGCCAGUGCAUUCAACAGACAAUUGAAAUGCUUUAGAGAACGUGUUUCUACUCUGGGGAAUUUUUACCGUCGUUCAGUAAAUCAAAGGAAUCAUUGGAUUGUUACCUAAUUGGGAGGUCCAAAGCUGUGACUGCACUGACUUCUUCCUUGCAUCCUUGCAUUGUUACUCAAGAAAUGAAGCUGCUGGUUUCUGAAAACUUCAACACCAUUUGGGAUUUUAAGGGUCGUUUUCUUGAACUACAGGUGCAAGAUUUUCAAGAGCAAGAUUCGAAUAGGAGUACAGUUAGAGAAGUUCUGAUCCAACAUUUUCUAGAAAUAACUCACAAGGCAAAAUUAUUCGAGGAUGAGUUUACAACAGCAAGACAGGGAAAUUUUGGUGAAAAAGUUCUAUCUGGAGAUAUAUUUUGUAAAAGAAACUCUGUGGAGCUUAAUGCCAGGUUCAAUGAAGCCCUUAUGUCUAUAUAUCAGCAUCUUGCAUCUGUAUUGCAGAGUUUAUGUUUUCCAAGCAAUAUUCCUAUGGUUGAUGAGUCCAUGGAAAAAAUUGUUUCAUGUGAAUCACUAUUUGAGUCAUUUGUUACAAAUCUUAGCUUGGACACAUUAUGUAAGGAUCUUUGGGAAGUUGUUUCUUCUGGGGUAAGCUUUUCUCUUUGCAAGUUGUUUUAGUAUUCUUUGUUACUGUAUAAUUAAUUGGACAAUACCUUUUCUCUGUAGAAAAUGUUAGUGAAUUCUUGUGACGAUAACGUGAUUACCAAUUUGUUAUAGCUAUUGAUGAUUCACUUAGUAUGUCAGAUUAUGGUGAUGUUGCUAUUGAAGCUUUGGUUACUGUAUGUCGUGCCGUUUCUCAAUUGGAAAUGGGAAGCUUGGCUGUUGCUAGUUUUGGAACAAAAGGAAACAUAAAGUUGUUGCACGACUUUGAGAGGCUGGUGUUAAGAUGAUAUCCAAUUUGACAAUCGAACAAGAGAACACGAUUGCUGAUGAGCCAGUUGUUGACCUAUUAAAGUACCUGACUAACAAACUGGAUACUGCAGUUGUAAAAGCACGACUUCCAUCUGGACAUAACCUACUACAGCACCUAGUUUUGAUAAUUGCAGAUGGUCGGUUUCAUGAAAAGGGAGAGAAACUUGUCCUGUUGUUUCUGAAGGUUAGUAUAUUCUCUUCAUUCUCACCAUUUUAAUUUUGAUUAAUUUGGAUUGUAUGACACAAUUGUCUAUUUUUCAUCAAAUUUGAACUGUUGUUGUUUCUUCUAUGUAUAAUUGUUUUAUCCAACGUGGCUUUAGUAAUACCUCAUUGUCUAUUUUUCAUCAAAUUUGUACUGUUGGUGUUUCUUCUAUGUAUGAUUGUUUUAUCCAGUGCGGCUUUAGUAAUACUCCAUAUCUGAGACUGCAAUUAAUGCAUUGUAUCAUGAUUUUACUUUUGAACUAAUUUUGAAAUGCCGUUUUUUAGUCUGUAUAUGUUAAUCAGGUUUACUCUGCAGAGAUGGUUACCUAUCAAGUAGUAAUAUAUUUUAAAGUUUUUAAGAUGAUUGUUUGGAUUUGAGAUGAAAUAUCAGAUUAUUUAAACAUGUUUAAUAUCUUAUAUUUAGAGUUCAUAUUUACUAUAUUUAGAGAAAACAUUACUAAUAUCUCUAUCUAUAUACUUAGUGACUUUCUUUUCUUAAUAGUAUUUUUAAGAGUUUAUACUAAUAUACUAAUAUUUAUAAAUUCUGAAUUUGUUUUCAGACCCUAUAUCAUCAUCAUCAUUUAGAUAAAUAUUUCCUUUGUUUGAUUGAACUCUUAAUUAAUGUAGUGACGUGAAUGUUAGAAAUUGUAAAAAAGUGUUUCAUCCUCGUUUUGUCAGUAUAUGUUAGGGUUUUUGCAGCUUCGUCCUCUGCAUUCUCUGUGUUACACACAAAACUGUGCAUUUCACCUCCAAAAUCGAUGGCGUAUUAUUACUCUAGACUCGAUUUCUUUUGCCAUUUGUGUGGGACAACGCUAAUUGUUCCUUCGAGUGAGUACGCCCAAUGUUGUUUGUGCAAAACUCUCUAAGACAUACAAGGUUAAGCCCUAUUUUUACUGUGGUGACGUGUUCUCGAAUUUUCUUAGUUGUAUAUUAUGUAUAACUCUCUCCAAUUGACUAACGGACUAUGGUUGUGUUCAGAUAUUCGUGAUAAGGAAAUAAGUUACACAAUUACUGCUGAGACGCAGCUGUCAACUUUUGAUGGAGAGCUGAUGAGGCUAAGGCAGAGAACACAUGGAGCAAAACCAAAAACAAUAAGCCCUUUCUCUANCUUUCUUUUCUAUUAUAGUGAUAAAUUUUUUUUAUUAGCUUGCUUAGUCUUAGACAGUAUAGUAAGUAGUAGAAUAGAAAAUAUGCUCUUUUAUAUAAAAAUUAAAAAGAUUAAUUUU